rnacentral:rRNA from 1 species
AUGACGGUCCCGGUGUCGCUCCUCGUCUCGUCGGGUCUCUGCGUCGCCGUGUCGGCGUGCGUGUCCACGGCCCUCGCGUACCACGCUUCCUUCGCCCUCUCCCUCGUCUACCUCGUGCGCGUCCUGUCGCCGGAGCUCGUCGACGGCUUCUUCGGCCAGGUGGACGCCGUCAUGCAGGAAGACCUGCGCAACGCCCGCGCCUUCUUCAGAGAUGACCCCUUGAUCGCGCCCAUCUAUGCCUGCGCCGAGGAGCAAGCGCGCCGCGCCCACGCGUUUGCCGCGGAGGCGAUCGAUGCCUUGGAGAGGAAGGCGAGGGCGCAGCUGAGCGGCCUGACGGACGCGGCAGUCACGGCGUUCCUCUGGCUCCGUCUGGCCGCCGGCGUAACGAAUCUUCUGGCGACCGUCCUGAUCACCGCUGCGCUCAACGAAGCGAGAAGCCGAGCGCCGUCGGUUCUGAGGUGGAGGGGCGUGAAGGGGCUCAGAACGCCGCCGAGAGAGGAGGCGGAGGUGGAGGCGGCGACCUCCCGCUCCAAACGUGGCACCACGAUGCUCGUCGCAUGGAUCUCGGCGAUCGUCGCGUACUGCACGCUAGUGUUCACCAUCAACGGCAUCUGCAACGGCAUCACAUCGUUCGCGAUGUGCUUCCCAUGCUUCGCCGCGCUCUGCGGCUUUGCGCUCAUGGAGGCCGAGAGGGUUUACCUGUGGGAUUCGUACAUCAUUGAUACCAGAGGCGGCAGCAGGAACACGGCCAAUCCAAGACGGCGAGCCGGCAAUGCCGCGGGUGGAGCAAUCACGGAGAAGGACCUGCGGGAUGCGUGGGAGUGCCUCUGGUUCGUCAUCAUCAUGAUGCACUGCAUCGACGCCUGCUUCCUCGGCCUCAUGCUGGGGAAGCGGCCGUUUGUGCUCGCGUCCCUGGCCAUCUACAACGUCGCCGCCCUUGCGUCAGCCAGGAAGGCUUACCUGACGACGGACGACGGCGAGGACGCCGACGGAGCGCACGUGAACGUGAACAAGUGGCACAAUGCCGCCACGACGGUGUUGGCAAUAGACGUCGCCAAGGUCGUUGCCACCUACGUCGUGCUCGACUUUUACCUCGGUGCGCUGUUGUUCGUGUCUCUCGGCGCCAAGGCGGUGUUCUUGCUGGACAGGGCGAUUUACUUGUCGGGUGAGGGUGCCUCGGGGGAGGACGACGACAGCAAUCAGGAGGAUGCUGAUCUCGCUGGGGAAGUCACGGGAGAUACCGAAGGUUCUGACGACGAUACUCAGGAGGUUGAUGAUCUGGCUGGGGACGUUGACGGAGAUGCUGAAGGUUCUGACGACAUUGGUGCAGAGAAUUCGAGUGACAUUGCUGCUUCCGAACAUGAAGAGGAAGAAGACUCGGCCACCGAGAAGCACUCCGAUGUAUCGGAUUCAGAGGAGCAACGUCGUGCAGAAUCAGACUACAGCAGCAGCAGCAGCAGCGUGGACGACUGGACUUUCGUAGGCGCCGACCCGACGAUGCCGACCAAUGUUAACGGUGGCGCCAACCGGAGGUUCGGGUUUUUGCCCUAG